rnacentral:sRNA from 1 species
AUCAGAUGAACUCCAACUAAAGACCGCCACGUCCAGUGGCGAACGUUGAAGCCAGCCCAACUUGUGCA